rnacentral:piRNA from 1 species
UGCGAAAAGGUCUACGCAAGGCAUAA